rnacentral:rRNA from 1 species
GUGGGGAAUAUUGGGCAAUGGGGGCAACCCUGACCCAGCGACGCCGCGUGGGUGAAGAAAUCCCUCGGGAUGUAAAGCCCUGUUGUAUGGGAAGAGCAGAAGACGGUACCAUACGAGGAAGCCCCGGCAAACUACGUGCCAGCAGCCGCGGUAAUACGUAGGGGGCAAGCGUUGUCCGGAAUUACUGGGCGUAAAGCGCACGCAGGCUGAAUUAUAAGUCGGUAGUCAAAUACGGAGGCUCAACUUCCGGAUAUCUAUCGAUACUGUAAAUCUAGGGUAUGUGAGAGGAAAGCGGAAUUCCAGGUGUAGCGGUGAAAUGCGUAGAGAUUGGGAGGAACACCAGUGGCGAAGGCGACUUACUGGGCCGUAACUGACGCUGAGGCGCGAAAGCGUGGGGAGCGAACAGGAUUAGAUACCCCAGUAGUCC